UACGUAGGGUGCGAGCGUUGUCCGGAAUUACUGGGCGUAAAGAGCUCGUAGGUGGUUUGUCGCGUUGUUCGUGAAAACUCACAGCUUAACUGUGGGCGUGCGGGCGAUACGGGCAGACUGGAGUACUGCAGGGGAGACUGGAAUUCCUGGUGUAGCGGUGGAAUGCGCAGAUAUCAGGAGGAAGACCAGUGGCGAAGGCGGGUCUCUGGACAGUUCCUGACACUGAGACACGAAGGCCAGGGGAGCAAACGGG
rnacentral:rRNA from 1 species